CGUCUAUUUUGGUCUUUUACAGUGUUUCUUCAUUUCUUUAUAACCCUGUUUUCGAGCUUAUGUUCAGCGCAGAUUUCCAUGAAAAAAACAUACCAGAAUUAGGGUUUCUGCCAGAAUAUCCCUUUCUGCUUCUGCUUUCUCUUUCUCACUCUUACUUAGCUGCUUGAUCUCUCCCUAUCUAGUUUACUCAUCAAAGUUCAAGUUCGUUUUCCAAUAUUCUCUUAUCCUACUUAAUUAAUUAAUACAAGUCUUUUUCAUGCUCAUAGAUCUUUCUCUUAUCUUUCAAAUAAUCAUGUGUAGUUUCGAUUUCAUCGCAAUUAUUCUAUAAUAUACCUUUUUCUGUUCCUGAUUAUUAUUAAUCUGAGCUCAUUUUCUUCUCACGCGUUCCUGUGGCUUAGGGUUUCCUUCAUUCACCGUGAUUUUUAUGUGAUACCAGCUAUUUAAUUUUCUAAGGUUUUAUUAGAUUUACUUAGCAUAAUAUGUUUGUACCUUUAUUCUCUCUUGAAAAUGUUAUGUCCAAGUUAUUAGAGUUUAUGUAAUCCUCUAAACUUGCAUGAAAAUAUUUAUACAUCGUGUUACUAAUCAGCACCUCAUGCUAGCUAGUUGAGCUUUCUCUUCUUUCUUUUCUUUCUCUUUUAUUGACCAUUUUUUUUUUUUCAUUUUUUUUUUCAAAUUAUACCUUGUUUUUGAGUACACAGAGCUGUUUUUCAUAUUAAUCAGACGCAGUUUGUUUCGCUUUCGAAAGUACGUUAUUAUUAGAUUCGGAUCUAGAUUGGGAGGCUUUAAUUUAAUUGAAGCCUCAAUAAAUUAUCAUCAUCAUUUUGAAACCUGUAACUUAAUUAGCUUCGCUACAUUUGCAUUAGGUUUUCUUAUUUCUUUAAAACUUGGAUCAAUAGACUAUUCAAAGUUUUAGUUUAAUUAUUCAUCUGAAAAUCUGUUUACACUCAUGGAGAAUAUAUCACUUGGAAGCUAUGAGCAGAUGAUGAAACAGAGGGAAAGAAAAUGAAGGGGCUUCUUUCAGUCCUUUCAUGGAGAAGGGAUUAAAGGGUUGCUGAAAUAACUGCUGACUCAUUCAUACACACUAACAGUAGGGUUAAUUAAAUGAUGCUAAUACUACUGUAAUUGUGUGAAUGAAGCGGGAGAUAUUUUGCAUUAUCCUCUUUCUCUGUGCUUGGACUGAAGGGGAGCUCCUUCUUUCUGUUGCCUCCAUUAUUAUUAUAUUGGUAUAUAUUUUCUAUCAUAUGUCUCAAUUUCAAUUCAAUCAAAUAUAUAUGUAUAUGCUUGGCACAAAAAGGUGUAGCUGAUGUUUACACAUCAUAGAUCUAUAUCGUUCUUCUAGGCCUACGGUCUUUGUAAGUAUAUUUAUUAACUCUGAUAUUCACCACCAUAUAUAACACUCACUACUGCUACACAAAGAUUCACCAAGCACUUGCAUAUGACUCUUAAUUAAUGGCUACAUACAUGCCCCCACUUGCCAGCAAAGUCAUGAUGUCCGACAUGGGUAAAUAAACAGUUACACCACAAGCAGUUUCACUUGCCUCUUUUCAUGAAUGCGAAAGCAGAUCAAUUGUGCUACAUUAAUUCCUUUCCAGUUCAAGCUUCUAUUCUUAUUCUUCUCUCUCCGAUCCGUACAAUUUAUGGUUCUAUUUUUUUUUUGAAGAGUUGGCCACUAUGAUUGAGGGGUACGGUCUGGCUGUUCAUUUAUCUUUGUCAGCACUAAACUAAAUAGUAUCUUAUGCUGAUCAUGAUCAAUCACAUACAUGGGAAUCAUCAUAUACAUGAGAGCGUUUGGGCUUACUUUCCUAUAUUUAAUUAUAUAUGUAGAUUAGCUAGAACAACAUACAUGGCGUGCGUGGUGUUGUCGCAUGUAUGUUUUAAGUAUAAUACUAUAACGAUAACUGAAUAAUGCAAAGUACAAAGACUCAGGAGUAUCAUAAUGCAUGCUAGUAGAUACGAUAUGCCACUCAGAAUCAUUAUUAUUGGCAACUUUAGCAUUUAUUUUCUUCAUUUAAGCGGCAUCUUAUUAUUUUUACUAGUGGAAGAUCAGAUCAGAUAUUUACUGUACUUUGCUGAUCGAUGAUCAUGAUUCGAUAGAGAGAUUUAGCUGAUGUACUUAA